AGCACUGUUGCUGUUUCUGAGCUAAGGUCUUACUGUGUAGCUCAGGCUGGCCUGCAACUUAAGGUUCUCUACCUCAGCUCCCCAGGUACUGGAAUGAUAAGGCAUUUGCCUCCGCUCAACCUAUUUCAUUUUUCUUUUAGGUUUUCCAUCCAAUACUGCUACCAGUCAGACUUCAAAGCAUGCUGCUUUUCCUGGUGAUCUCUCCCCGCCUCUAAGGACCUGGUACAUUUGUGCUCCCUCCACAUACUCCGAAAAGUGGCUCUCCACAUGUAGACUAUAUCAUCGUUCUGGCUGACAAAAAAAAAAAAAAAAAAUCCACCUCUCUCCUGUCUAUGCAAGCUCUCUCAGGUGCUCUUCUCUGCAAACAAUACUGGAAGUCAUCACAGGGAGCUGUCCUCCUGGGAUGCUUCCACUGAGGCUACAACAGCCCCUUGAAGCUGGAUCCUGAUAGAGAGGAGCCAGCACCGCACUGUGUGUCCCCUCGCGGAGGCUGAGCUGGUCUCUGGCUCUACGAGGACACUACCUGCUCUCUUCUGUCUUCUGCCACCACUUCCUAGAGCUAUGCUGCCCAGUGGAGCAGGCAUUGGUCGUGGGGCCUCUGUAAGUUUUAGUUGAUUAAAGAAUAUGGAGACCUGUCCCUCAGAUACUCCAGCCACAAUUCAAGCGCUUGAGUAGUCGUACGUGGCCAGCAGCCACCAAACUGGAUAGGAAAGCUGGGCCAUCUCUACCACAAAGGAGGUUCUACAGGACAGUUACUCUGAGCACUAAGGGAUCUGGAAUGGGUGGGCCUCAAGUCUGGGUGAGAUGCAGGGCAGCAGAGUCCUCCCCACCCACCUCCCGUGGUAUCAUCAUUAAAACUGAACCUUUCCCUCA